rnacentral:tRNA from 1 species
GUUCAUUUAGUUUAAUAAAAAUUUCGGUUUGUGGAGCUGAGGAUCUCAAUGAGGGUGAGCU